GUAAUGGCGGGAAUGAUGCCCGGGAUGGGGUUUAGUGGCGUGAAGGGCGUCGCCAAGGGAGGAGCAGGUGCGGUGGCCAAGGGAGAGGAGAAGGUGGAGAAGACGGUGUUUGAUGUGAAGCUUAAAGGGUUUGAUGCCGCGGUGAAGAUCAAGGUGAUUAAGGAAGUUAGAGGGUUUACGGAUUUGGGACUGAAGGAGGCAAAGGACUUGGUGGA
rnacentral:misc_RNA from 1 species